UUGGGGUUUAAAGUGUACGUAGGCGGGUUUUUCAAGUCAGAGGUGAAAAGCCCGGGGGCUCAACUCCGGAAUUGCCUUUGAAACUGGAAGACUUGAACAUGGGAGAGGUAAGUGGAAUUCCGAGUGUAGAGGUGAAAUUCGUAGAUAUUCGGAGGAACACCAGUGGCGAAGGCGGCUUACUGGACCAUUGUUGACGCUGAGGUACGAAAGCGUGGGGAGCAAACAGGAUUAGAUACCCUAGUA
rnacentral:rRNA from 1 species